UCAUGCAUUGAUGACGCGUGAGCAGUUUCUGCUUAACGCCAACUGGCCUGUGGACAGGCCUGUGUAUGGUGAGGGGGCGGGCGCUGGUGCGUCUUCUGGUGGUGUUGCUGAUGAUGAUGAUGAUGAUGAGGCUACCGGUUCUGAGGCCGGUAGCGAGGAGGAUUCUGAGCCUUUGGAGGGCUAAGUUUUUAUUUUUUAUUGUUAUGUUUUAUUUUGAUUGUAUUUCCAGAAUUCUGUAUUUUGAUUUUGGCUUUGUACUUUUGGGGUGUUUUGUCCCCCACGAACAAAUUUAAAUUUUGAAGUUUAU
rnacentral:lncRNA from 1 species